UACGGAGGGUGCAAGCAUUAAUCGGAUUUAUUGGGCGUAAAGGGCGCGUAGGCGGAACGAUAAGUCGUAUGUGAAAUCCCGGGGCUCAACCCCGGAACAGCAUAGGAAACUAUCGAUCUAGAGGGUAGGAGGAGAAAAUGGAAUUCCACAUGUAGCGGUGAAAUGCGUAGAUAUGUGGAAGAACACCGGUGGCGAAGGCGAUUUUCUAUCUUAUACCUGACGCUGAGGUGCGAAAGCAAGGGGAGCAAACAGG
rnacentral:rRNA from 1 species